rnacentral:lncRNA from 1 species
AUCGUUCGUUUAUUCAGAUAAUAGGAUAUAUGAUUUGGAAUUUGGUAUGGUGAUGGAGAGAUCUUAGUAGUAGUAUAUUUUUGGUGUAAUAAUAUUUGAGAACUAAUUUGAUUGGAGGUUGUGAUAUUUUGAAACUCUUAAGGACUUAGGAAAGUUGGUGAUAAAGAGAUAUUAGUAGUAUAUUCUUUGGUGUAAUAUUAUUUGGUGAAUAGUUCAAAUUAAGGAUGAGAUAUUUUGAAGCUCUUGAGGACUUGGGGAGAGUUGGUAAUAUAGUUUGCAUAGUUGUUUUGUUU